UGAGUACUCCCUCCAUACGAAAAUACUUGUCAGAGAAAUGGAUAAAAUGAAUGUAUCUAGAAUUAAAAUACGUCUAGAUACAUCCAUUCCUCCGACAAGUAUUUCCGGACGGAGGGAGUAUUAU
rnacentral:pre_miRNA from 1 species